GAUGAACGCUGGCGGCGUGCCUAAUACAUGCAAGUCGAGCGAACGGACGAGAAGCUUGCUUCUCUGAUGUUAGCGGCGGACGGGUGAGUAACACGUGGAUAACCUACCUAUAAGACUGGGAUAACUUCGGGAAACCGGAGCUAAUACCGGAUGAUAUUUUGAACCGCAUGGUUCAAAAGUGAAAGACGGUCUUGCUGUCACUUAUAGAUGGAUCCGCGCUGCAUUAGCUAGUUGGUAAGGUAACGGCUUACCAAGGCAACGAUGCAUAGCCGACCUGAGAGGGUGAUCGGCCACACUGGAACUGAGACACGGUCCAGACUCCUACGGGAGGCAGCAGUAGGGAAUCUUCCGCAAUGGGCGAAAGCCUGACGGAACAACGCCGCGUGAGUGAUGAAGGUCUUCGGAUCGUAAAACUCUGUUAUUAGGGAAGAACAUAUGUGUAAGUAACUGUGCACAUCUUGACGGUACCUAAUCAGAAAGCCACGGCUAACUACGUG
rnacentral:rRNA from 1 species